GAGAGUUUGAUCCUGGCUCAGGAUGAACGCUGGCGGUGUGGAUAAGGCAUGCAAGUCGAGCGGGUUUAGACCCGCGGCGAACGGGUUAGUAACACGUAGGAAUCUACCUUUGUCUCGAGGAUAACCCGGAGAAAUCCGGGAUAAUACUCGAUAGUCUCGCAAGAGUAAAGGUUUCCAAUUUAUUGGAAUUCCGGACAAAGAGGAGCCUGCGUCCUAUCAGCUUGUUGGUAAGGUAAUGGCUUACCAAGGCUAUGACGGGUAGGGGGAGUGAGAGCUUGACCCCCAACAAUGGGACUGAGACACGGCCCAUACACCUACGGGUGGCAGCAGUCGAGAAUCUUCCACAAUGGGCGAAAGCCUGAUGGAGCGACACCGCGUGCUUGAAGAAACCCUUCGGGGCGUAAAUAGCUUUUAUAAAGGAACAAUUUUGAUUUAUCAAUAUGAGUGUACUUUAUGAAUAAGGGGCGGCAAACUUCGUGCCAGAAGCCUCGGUAAUACGAAGGCCCCAAGCGUUAUCCGGAUUAACUGGGCGUAAAGCGUGUGUAGGUGGUUUUAAUAGUGGUUGGUCAAAUUCCGAAGCUCAACUUCGGAGCUGCCAAUCAAACGUUGAAACUAGAGCAAGUGAGAGGUUGAUGGAACUUACCAAGUAGGGGUGAAAUCCGUUGAUAUGGUAAGGAACACCAAAGGCGAAGGCAAUCAACUGGUACUUAGCUGACACUGAGACACGAAAGCGUGGGGAGAGAAGAGGAUUAGAUACCCUCGUAUUCCACGC
rnacentral:rRNA from 1 species